ensembl:scaRNA
CCGCUCGCCAGCGCUCGGGCCCUCCGUGUGGUGCUGACCUGCCCGCCCUCCGUGAGCAAGAGACAGGACUGGUUUGGGGGGGUCCCAUCUGAGCGGACCUGGGAGACCACAGUUCUCAGUACACCA